rnacentral:rRNA from 1 species
CUGAUGCAGCCAUGCCGCGUGUGUGAAGAAGGCCUUCGGGUUGUAAAGCACUUUCAGCGAGGAGGAAAGGUUGGCAGCUAAUAUCUGUCAGCUGUGACGUUACUCGCAGAAGAAGCACCGGCUAACUCCGUGCCAGCAGCCGCGGUAAUAC